rnacentral:rRNA from 1 species
GACGAACGCUGGCGGCGUGCUUAACACAUGCCAGUCGAACGGAAAGGCCCUGCUUUUGUGGGGUGCUCGAGUGGCGAACGGGUGAGUAACACGUGAGUAACCUGCCCUUGACUUUGGGAAAACUUCAGGAAACUGGGGCUAAUACCGGAUAGGAGCUCCUGCUGCAUGGUGGGGGUUGGAAAGUUUCGGCGGUUGGGGAUGGACUCGCGGCUUAUCAGCUUGUUGGUGGGGUAGUGGCUUACCAAGGCUUUGACGGGUAGCCGGCCUGAGAGGGUGACCGGCCACAUUGGGACUGAGAUACGGCCCAGACUCCUACGGGAGGCAGCAGUGGGGAAUAUUGCACAAUGGGCGGAAGCCUGAUGCAGCAACGCCGCGUGCGGGAUGACGGCCUUCGGGUUGUAAACCGCUUUCGCCUGUGACGAAGCGUGAGUGACGGUAAUGGGUAAAGAAGCACCGGCUAACUACGUG